CCAUGUAAAUUUAUUACUGCAAAGCUUUCAAUCUGAUAUUAUUAGCACUGAUGAAGAUCCGGGCUUACGGAUCGAAAGCUUUGCAGUAAUAGAUUUACGUGGUGUUUCCA